rnacentral:rRNA from 1 species
AACGAACGCUGGCGGCAGGCUUAACACAUGCAAGUCGAACGAGAUCUUUGGAUCUAGUGGCAGACGGGUGAGGAACACGUGGGAACAUCCCUUUCAGUUCGGAAUAACGUUGGGAAACUAACGCUAAUACCGGAUACGUCCUUCGGGAGAAAGAUUUAUCGCUGAAAGAUUGGCCCGCGUCUGAUUAGCUAGUUGGUGAGGUAACGGCUCACCAAGGCUACGAUCAAUAGCUGAACUGAGAGGAUGAUCAGCCACAUUGGGACUGAGACACGGCCCAAACACCUACGGGAGGCAGCAGUGGGGAAUAUUGGACAAUGGGCGCAAGCCUGAUCCAGCCAGGCCGCGUGAGUGAUGACGGCCUUCGGGUUGUAAAGCUCUUUUGUCCGGGAAGAUAAUGACUGUACCGGAAGAAUAAGCCCCGGCAAACUUCGUGCCAGCCGCCGCCGUAA